rnacentral:rRNA from 1 species
GAUGAACGCUCGCUACAGGCUUAACACAUGCAAGUCGAGGGACCGGCGCACGGGUGAGUCACACGUAUCCAACCUUCCCUUUACUCGGGGAUAGCCUUUCGAAAGACAGAUUAAUACCCUAUGUAAAGGCUGGGGAUGCGUUCCAUUAGGUUUUUGGUGAGGUAACGGCUCACCAAGCCUUCGAUGGAUAGGGGUUCUGAGAGGAAGGGCCCCCACAUUGGAACUGAGACACGGUCCAAACUCCUACGGGAGGCAGCAGUGAGGAAGAUUGGUCAAUGGGCGUUAGCCUGAAACAGCCAAGUAGCGUGAAGGAUGAAGGCUUAUGGGUCGUAAAAUUCUUUUAUAUAAGAAUAUGUAGUAUAUGAAGAAGGAUCGGCUAACUCCGUGCCAGCAGCCGCGGUAAUUC